AAACUUAGGAUUAAAC
rnacentral:tRNA from 1 species